rnacentral:rRNA from 1 species
UACGGGGGGGGCAAGCGUUGUUCGGAAUUACUGGGCGUAAAGGGCUCGUAGACGGCCAACUAAGUCGGAUGUGAAAUCCCCAGGCUUAACCUGGGAACUGCAUCCGAUACUGGAUGGCUUGAAUCCGGGAGAGGGAUGCGGAAUUCCAGGUGUAGCGGUGAAAUGCGUAGAUAUCUGGAGGAACACCGGUGGCGAAGGCGGCAUCCUGGACCAUUACUGACACUGAAAAGCGAAAGCCAGGGGAGCAAACGGG